rnacentral:rRNA from 1 species
AUUGAACGCUGGCGGCAGGCCUAACACAUGCAAGUCGAGCGGAUGAAGGGAGCUUGCUCCUGGAUUCAGCGGCGGACGGGUGAGUAAUGCCUAGGAAUCUGCCUGGUAGUGGGGGAUAACGUCCGGAAACGGGCGCUAAUACCGCAUACGUCCUGAGGGAGAAAGUGGGGGAUCUUCGGACCUCACGCUAUCAGAUGAGCCUAGGUCGGAUUAGCUAGUUGGUGGGGUACAGGCCUACCAAGGCGACGAUCCGUAACUGGUCUGAGAGGAUGAUCAGUCACACUGGGACUGAGACACGGUCCAGACUCCUACGGGAGGCAGCAGUGGGGAAUAUUGGACAAUGGGCGAAAGCCUGAUCCAGCCAUGCCGCGUGUGUGAAGAAGGUCUUCGGAUUGUAAAGCACUUUAAGUUGGGAGGGAGGGCAGUAAGUUAAUACCUUGCUGUUUUGACGUUACCAACAGAAUAAGCACCGGCUAACUUCGUG